rnacentral:rRNA from 1 species
UGAGUACAAUUUAAAUACCUUAACGAGGAACAAUUGGAGGGCAAGUCUGGUGCCAGCAGCCGCGGUAAUUCCAGCUCCAAUAGCGUAUAUUAAAGUUGUUGCAGUUAAAAAGCUCGUAGUUGAACCUUGGGCCUGGCUGGCCGGUCCGCCUCACCGCGUGUACUGGUCCGGCCGGGCCUUUCCUUCUGGAGAUCCGCAUGCCCUUCACUGGGUGUGCUGGGGAACCAGGACUUUUACUUUGAGAAAAUUAGAGUGUUCAAAGCAGGCCUUUGCUCGAAUACGUUAGCAUGGAAUAAUAGAAUAGGACGUGCGGUCCUAUUUUGUUGGUUUCUAGAACCGCCGUAAUGAUUAAUAGGGAUAGUCGGGGGCGUCAGUAUUCAAUUGUCAGAGGUGAAAUUCUUGGAUCUAUUGAAGACUAACUACUGCGAAAGCAUUCGCCAAGGAUGUUUUCAUUAAUCAGUGAACGAAAGUUAGGGGAUCGAAGACGAUCAGAUACCGUCGUAGUCUUAACCGUAAACUAUGCCGACUAGGGAUCGGGCGAUGUUUCUAUAUUGACUCGCUCGGCACCUUACGAGAAAUCAUAAG